UACAGGGGGUGCAAACGUUGCUCGGAACCAUUGGGCGUAAAGCGCACGUAGGCGGUUCGUUAUGUCGGAUGUGAAAGCCCUUGGCUUAACCGAGGAAGUGCAUCCGAAACUGGCGAGCUAGAGUACGAAAGAGGAUCGCGGAAUUCCCGGUGUAGAGGUGAAAUUCGUAGAUAUCGGGAGGAACACCGGUGGCGAAGGCGGCGAUCUGGGUCGAUACUGACGCUGAGGAGCGAAAGCCAGGGUGGGAGCAAACAGGG
rnacentral:rRNA from 1 species